GACGAACGCUGGCGGCGUGCCUAAUACAUGCAAGUCGAGCGGACGAAUCGAAAGCUUGCUUUUGAUUCGUUAGCGGCGGACGGGUGAGUAACACGUGGGCAACCUGCCCUGUAGACGGGGAUAACACCGAGAAAUCGGUGCUAAUACCGGAUAACACGAAAUGUCGCAUGACGUUUCGUUGAAAGACGGCGCAAGCUGUCGCUACAGGAUGGGCCCGCGGCGCAUUAGCUAGUUGGUGAGGUAACGGCUCACCAAGGCGACGAUGCGUAGCCGACCUGAGAGGGUGAUCGGCCACACUGGGACUGAGACACGGCCCAGACUCCUACGGGAGGCAGCUGUAAGGAAUCUUCCGCAAUGGACGAAAGUCUGACGGAGCAACGCCGCGUGAGCGAAGAAGGCCUUCGGGUCGUAAAGCUCUGUUGUUAGGGAAGAACAAGUAACGCAGUAACUGGCGUUACCGUGACGGUACCUAACGAGAAAGCCACGGCUAACUACGUG
rnacentral:rRNA from 1 species